AAGUGUUGUUCAUCAAGAGUCGAUCGUCCAGUAUUCUGGGGGUUUUCAAAAAUGAAUCUGUUAUUGUUAGGAGUGAUAUUGUGUAUUCAGACAUCUUUGUUGUAUGGAAAGAGCGCUAGGACUAAAGACAUAGAAUUUAAUCAUGGCUCGAUUAUCGAGAGAAUCGAUGAUGUAUUCAUCGUGUCAAGUAAUAUUGUUAUCGAAGUAGAUAUGCAUGCUAUUUUCUUACCUGAAGAUGACGUCCUUAACUUAAAGAAUGACCUGAUGAGGUUUGGUAUUUCCCUUAAGGAAAUGCAUGAACGUAAUUUUCAUGCUAACUCAGAGAUUUCACUAGCUCAAACGCUAAGCGUCGCGGAAAUGUUGUCUUAUGACAUACAAAAUAAAACCGCCGAGGCAGAAGAACUCGCUCGUGCGACCUGCUGAUGUGGUCUGUGCGGCACAAUACUCUUGAACGCCGCAACCCGCUUAUUCUAGCUGGACUAAACAUCUUAGGAUCAGUUGCGAAUCUAGGCUUAGGAAUCUCAAAUCGCCUCAAGAUAAAUAUCAAAAUAAAAGAAUUGAGUUUUUGCAACACAAAACGGAACUGGCCUUAUCAGAACUUCGCAGCCAGUUAUCUUCGAUCAAUCAAAUAAUGAAUAUCGUUAAUGAACAUUCAAAUAAUAUCGAUCAGGUCAUGGAAGUUCAACAUUUGCUGGCUACUUUAGCUUACUAUAGUUCGAAAAUAGAUCAUAUCCGUGUGAAAAUAUCACAUUUUAUUGAAAGGUCAAAAGAUUACGUAGAAGCAAUUACGUUAGCAACAAAGGGUGUGUUAUCUCCUCACCUCAUGCCUAUUAAAGAUCUGACGUUAACUUUAGAAAACGGAAACGGGAGAAGCUAGGUUAUAUUCCUUUAUUAGAUGCCCAUAAAGUAGAAUUCUAUUAUAGCCUAAUAUCAGUCAGCGUUGAAAAUUAUAGAAUUAUGAUCACAAUUCCUUUUGAUUCUUCCGAUGCUUGGCAAUCAUACAAAAUAGCACCGUUUCCUACUUUUAUGACGAAUAACUCAAAUCCAGUAAUAUCCAAUUUAACGGGGCAUGUACUGAUUUCUUCUGAUAAGAAAUCAUUUACAGUCAUUAAAGACUUAGAUAAACUCACUCACUGUUCAGAAGCCAUGAAUAAUAAAAUUUGUACAGC